AGGGAGCCCGGCCCUAUAGACACCUUAUCUGCAAACUUCUGACCCCCACAACUAUUUUGGCCAACCCUCUGCUCAGAGAGAGCUAUACAAGUCUAUGGGCACUGCCGUGAUUGGAAGAUCUGUUUCCAGGAAUCCCACCUGUCCGGAAGACACAGUGGUUUUGAAUAUGAAAAGUCCCUGUGGAAGUUACUAGGACUAUUGAAAAUACCGGAUGCUCUCAUUCCUCCCGACACCUGAUGCAUGCAGAAGUGGACAUCAGUAAACCAAGAGGAUCUCUAUGCCAAAAGCCCAUUUUGACCAUUCAUUGGAUCAAAAGCACACCUGUUUUUCUUACUCAUGAAGCUUAAAAGUCUACUCAUGGAGAGUGACAUUAGUCAA